UUAAUGGGCCUCUACGAGUUUUAUUGCUGUCAUUUGGAGAGUUUUAUUAAUAGGCCUCUACGAGUUACAUUGAUGUUGUUUAAUUGCGGCCUACAUGAUGCGUUUUUUUGUCGUGACCUGAAAAAGUGAAAUAUCAUCUUCUGCGAUGGAUCUAGGGUUCAUCCUUUUCUCAAGAUCCGAUUAGGUCAAACUGUAAUGGAGGUGCUGGGAGGUUCUCUUUGUCAAAUAUUCGUAUUGAAUCUCUAUGUCGGUUUCAUUCAUGUUGUUCCGUCUCCGAUUCAACGUAUAUAAUACGUUACGAGAUUCAGUGUUUAUCGUCAUUAAUAGUCAUCUUUACUCCUUAGAUCCACGCCAUCAACAAUUACUCAUUCAAUUCUUCUUAACUCCCUUCCAGUCGGUGAAACGUUUCGUAUAUAAAGGUGUGCCUCCUCAGGUUUUGAGAAGCCAGAAACGAGCUCAUUGGUGACUCUAAGGUGAUUCUGUUCAAGAAAUUCAUGUUCAUCAUAAAGGUUGAACACACGGCUGCGUAUAGGAUCAUAGUUAUGAAAAAUCUAUUUUUCUUCCUUGGGAGAUGGUUUUGAAUCCAGUUGUUUUCAAAAUUCUAUUUUUGGUUUUGAAUCGGUUGUUGAUUAUGCUUUUUUUAUUAUGUUCUUAAAACUCAUGUUCAUCGGAGUGUUUGAACACACGGUGGCGUUAGGCUCACUUAUAUAUAAAAAUCAGUAUUAUAAUUUCCCUCUUUUGGAGAUGUCUCGACAGUUGUUGUUUGUUUUUUUUUUCCUUUUUUUAGCGUUUUCAGGCGACACUCAUGCUAGCAACCGUGUACCAUCCCAACUGAGAAGUUCCAGUUUUGAAAAUCGAUGCUCCACUGAAUGAGAGGAAUGGAAGAGUUCUAAUGAUGGUUCUACUUCUCUACCACAAUGGAGCUGCGAAAAUAGGAACAAGCUUACAGUGAAUUAAUGUUUUUCUUAACUCUGAUUGUGCUAUAUACAAUACAAGUGCUGCUCUCAAGCUGUCUGAUUAUUUUCGAAUGAUUUAUAACUCUUUGGAUGAAGAUGAGAUGCUAAGAAAGCUAAGGAAGUUUGCAAGGUUUGGUGAUCAAAUUUGACUAAAUGGGAAGGCUUUAGGUGACAGAGAAACAAAGAAUUAGUAAAGAUAAGUUUACAAUUGUAAGAGCUCCCCACAUGCAUCAAGGUCUGUAAAAACUAAUAUUCUUGGCUUAGGAUAUGCAUCACUUUCCCAUUUUUAGAUUCUUUCACCUUAUUUUCAAAAGGUUUAUUACUUCCUUCACUAUUCACUUUAAAAUUGUAGUUCUAUUUUAUAAAUUCAUAAAAUAUGUUCAUUAGGUC